UUACUGGGGGUGCCCUCCCUUCCUAGGGUAUCCUUUAAAUCUCAAGAUUCAUCGACACCCAGGAAAUACAAGAAGGGCUUCCCAUUUACCUUCCAUCACAAUCCAGUGAUUCUUAUGCCAGAAAUGAGAGCUCUGCCUCUAGGACAGAUGUCCUCCAACAUACUAUAGCCACCUCGAGGGCCACCACCUCCUGACACUUGAUCCACAAGCUCCGUGGAGACCCAUUAUGGCCCUGUAUUGAAAGCAAUCAAUCAAUCAGUCCUGAUCAACUGAAAGGCUGGGCUCCAGCUCCCCAUAAUGGCAGAAGAAGAUGGUGGUUCUCCAACCACGGGUUCUGAUGAAGAACACCCAGCUGCUAGCUUACCGUAACAAGCAGGGCAACCACAAGGCUUGGACUCAGCCUGUGACCAUGAAACUGGAGCUGUCUGGAUACACUGGAGCUCAAGUUCUGCCACAUUGCUAUUAAACACUAGCAUGAGACCAUUACAGAAAACUUUGGAAUGUUUGCCAAAUACCCAAGACAAAAGGAGAAGGAACUCAGCUCUGCCUGGUAAAGCUAAUGCCCAGCCCGCAAGUCCCAUUUUCCCUCCCUUGUUCUCCAGGUUUCAACUCACUCUUGGCACAAGGAGAAAGCAACUUCUAACAGGAUCAGAAAGACUUAAAGUGAGGUGUGGCUCCUCCUCCCCACUUACUGGUGAUGUCAAGACAGCUAACACUCCUCACAGCCCUCAAAAUAGAGGUCCAUCCAAAACCUCCCAGGAUGCUCUUGAAAACAAGGAAAAUGAGGGGGUCUGGAUGUUCCCAGAGACAGCGAGCUUUAGUGUCUCUAAUGAGAAAAAAAAAAAAAAGACAUCCUCAGCUGUGGGCCCUGAUGUUCCAUUUCUUUGACUCCCUGCAGCUGAAGGAGGCAUUUUCAUCACAGCGGCCUAGGUGCAUGUGUGCAUGGGUCUAUGUCCACAGCCUGCCUAUUUCUAACGCCCGCUCCCUGCCCCACAAAAUGAGGUUCAACAACUAUAAUCCAGCACUGCAAAGGAUGUGCAUUUAUAUUUUAAGUGCAUACAAAAUAAAGUAUUUCUCCUAGCCUUGCUGUGUCAAUAAGAGCAAAAACUAAACCACAUUACUCUCCAGAUUUUAGUUGUCACUACCAAUUUCCAGAUUCUGCUUAGGAGAGCAGUCUCAAAUAAGAAAACUGAAGAUAAGAAAGAAUCUGGGGAAGCUGUAAACAGCUGCCAACUUCCGUCCCCAACGUGGGUCCUCCCCUCCUCCCCCUCUGCUGCAGUCCUGGCUUUUGGAACCCGCUGCCCUCUGGGGACACAGUCCGCCCUCCACCAUCCUACCUACUAGCUCCGCAUCUCUCUCACGUCUUUUUAAAAAGAUAUUUUGGGAAGCAGCACACGCACAUCCAGAGACCAGUUACUCAAUCUCCCAGCAAGUAUGGAGAUGAUGGAAGUAUAGCCCUUUGGUUUCCUAGCAACAGCGUGGGGGGAGGCUGGAAAGCGAGCUGGUUGCCCAGCACCACCUUGCGUAGAAGGCAUUUGCGCAUUUGGCUUUUGUUGUCUUUGACGGCCAUUUCUAAAAACGGGCUCUGUAUUCUUGGGGGGAUUUUAGGCACUUAAGUUAUUCUUUUAAAAGCUCUCUGCUGACA
ensembl:lncRNA